rnacentral:rRNA from 1 species
CCUUCAUGAAGCCGGAAUUGCUAGUAAUGGCAGGUCAGCAUACUGCCGUGAAUACGUUCCCGGGCCUUGUACACACCGCCCGUCACACCAUGAGAGUUGGGAAUACCCGAAGCCUGUGAGCUAACGUAAGAGGCAGCAGUCGAAGGUAGAAUCAAUGAUUGGGGUGAAGUCGUAACAAGGUAUC